CAGCAGCCGCGGUAAUACGUAUGUCACAAGCGUUAUCCGGAUUUAUUGGGCGUAAAGCGCGUCUAGGUGGUUAUGUAAGUCUGAUGUGAAAAUGCAGGGCUCAACUCUGUAUUGCGUUGGAAACUGUGUAACUAGAGUACUGGAGAGGUAAGCGGAACUACAAGUGUAGAGGUGAAAUUCGUAGAUAUUUGUAGGAAUGCCGAUGGGGAAGCCAGCUUACUGGACAGAUACUGACGCUAAAGCGCGAAAGCGUGGGUAGCAAACAGGAUUAGAUACCCCUGUAGUCCCUGUCUCUUAUACA
rnacentral:rRNA from 1 species